UACAGAGGUCUCAAGCGUUGUUCGGAUUCAUUGGGCGUAAAGGGUGCGUAGGCGGUUGCCUAAGUCAGAUGUGAAAUCUCGGGGCUCAACCCCGAAACUGCAUUUGAUACUGGGUGACUCGAGUACUGGAGAGGAGACUGGAAUUUACGGUGUAGCAGUGAAAUGCGUAGAUAUCGUAAGGAAGACCAGUGGCGAAGGCGAGUCUCUGGACAGUUACUGACGCUGAGGCACGAAGGCCAGGGGAGCAAACGGG
rnacentral:rRNA from 1 species